rnacentral:rRNA from 1 species
GAUGAACGCUGGCGGCGUGCCUAAUACAUGCAAGUCGAGCGGUAAGGUUCUCACUCUGUGCUUAAUUAGUUGAGCGUAGGGUGAGAAUACACGAGCGGCGGACGGCUGAGUAACGCGUAGGAACGUACCCCAAAGUGAGGGAUAAGCACCAGAAAUGGUGUCUAAUACCGCAUGUGGUCUAAGGAUUAAAGCUUCGGCGCUUUGGGAGCGGCCUGCGUAUGAUUAGCUUGUUGGUGAGGUAAUAGCUCACCAAGGCGAUGAUCAUUAGCUGGUCUGAGAGGAUGAUCAGCCAGACUGGGACUGAGAACGGCCCAGACUCCUACGGGAGGCAGCAGUAGGGAAUUUUCCACAAUGGGCGAAAGCCUGAUGGAGCAACGCCGCGUGCAGGAUGAAUGCCUUCGGGUUGUAAACUGCUUUUAUAUGUGACGAUUAUGACGGUAGCAUAUGAAUAAGGAUCGGCUAAUUCCGUGCCAGCCGCCGCGGUAAAAC